GCGACGGUGCCCCGGCGACGGGGUGAAAAGGGAAUGCGGUGGCGGGCCUCGGCCCGGAUUCCGCGGCUGCCCCCGCAACUGUGAGCGGUAAGCUCCUGCCGAUGGCCACCGGACCUGAUGUCCGGGAAGGCGGCAGGCGCGGCGACCCGCGAGCCAGGAGACCUGCCGUCAC
rnacentral:ncRNA from 1 species